ensembl:snRNA U4 U4 spliceosomal RNA
AGCUUUGCGCAGUGGCAGUAUCGUAGCCAAUGAGGUUUAUCCGAGGCACGAUUGUUGCUAAUUGAACUUUUCCCAAUACAA